UCUUGGUAAUUGUGGAGGAUGCAUUUAAUCGGGACUGGAUAUGACAGAGCAGUGUGUGUUUCUUCUCCUGUCUCAACGGCCGAGGAGACAAAAAGCAGUGUUUUAAAGAGGGCAAAAUAAAAGACACGUGAAAAGCUUUUUCUUUUAUAUCCCUUUAAUUUCCCCGCUGACCCCUCUGAUAUACGAUGGGGGCUCUUUGGGGGGGUCACACUCGCAGCUCGGUAAUCAUUACUCCUCCGUAAUAACACGGUGUGGGACUGCGAAAUGAGAAGGGCUGGURCGUGCUCGGCUGUAGUUUGCUGAUCUUUUCAGACUUUGGACUCCAGAGUUGAUGAGUCAGUUUCCAAGGCGAAGGACGCGCCGAAAACACUUGUUAAAUAAGAUCCGCAGAAGGAAGUAAAUACAGCCGUGGAGCCAAAAACGCUUACCCUGAUGUGCACUUUGACCCAGUGACAGCGUGAGUAACUGACUUAAUGUGAGCGCAACCACCAGGCUCGGUGUCACGUAGGGCGCCGGGUGAUUUGUGCUGCAGGCUUUCAAAGACUGAAACGCUCAGCUAUAUGCUCUYUAGACUAAUAUUGUUCUAAAGUCUACACAGGAGGAUGGAAAUUUUUCCUGUACCGGAGGCCUGCUGGCUGGACCACACACCGAGCCGCAGUGCUGAGGCUUUCCAACCAGUGUAGCAACUAUUUCAGCGGAGGGAUCGACGUUUCACGCAAGGUUUACAGGGACACUUCGCAUGCCAGAGAGAGGAACGACCUGGUUUUGACGUCAUGCACAGAUCAGAGUCCUGAUAUGACACGAGAGGAUUCCCUCCGGUUGCUAGGAGACGGGUUUCCGGUUGUGGAUAAACAACGGGGUUCCUCGUGGCACACCUGUGUUUGAAGUUGACACUGCCACGCUGUCAGACGUCUAUCUGUUGUUCCUCGGCUAUUGAGUAACCAUAGUUAUUUUCCAUUGCGUGGAAUUCGCUAUAAAAUGUGUGUCAAUAGUGCUGCGUUGGCAUGACAACCGAAUAAUAGUAAAGGGGGAAAAGGUGAAUCGUUUAUGUUGCUCAUCUGACUGUGCAGUUCUACUGUAAGCAGGACAAGGUUCAUUUACUGUAUUUAUCCGCAAGUCAUGGCUGAAAAUACAUUUUACAGUUGAACA